UGGCUGGGGGAUCUCCUUGGGAUUAUUCUGGGAUGGGAGCUUGGGAAAAGCAGGAGCGAGCCUUGGAAUCCAGGCUGGAAGUGUGGAGGUUUUUCACAGGAAAGGAGGACCCUGUGAAACAAUAUUGGUAAAACAUGAGGAGGACCUGGUGGGCGUGGGUUGGGUGGACAUGAAUGGGGAAAUGCAGAGGCUGGGAAAGUGAUCUGAGCGGGAGCAGUGAGGGGCUAAGGUCAGGAACGGGAGGGAAGAACAGGUAGGAGGAAUUGAGCAAACGCAUGACUGACAGGACUGAGCGAAUGAUUAAGUAUGUGGGUGGAGUUGGCGGUGGGGUCAGAGGCAGCCCUGAGAGCCUGCCAGUGGCUGAGAGAAGGACAGCAUCUUCCAGGAGAAAGGAAAACCAGAAGGAGACACACGUAGGAAUGAGGUGAGACUGGUGACUUGGGGCAACGGCAGGACAUUCCAUUGGGGUUUAAAUAAGCAGGCUCGGAAUGUUCCAGAGCUGGGAGAGUGGUGAGAACUGGAGGUCCUGAACCAAGAGUUACCUCGGGGAAUUUCCCAUCUCUGUGAAGUGCUGUGACAGGUUGACUCCGUCUCUCCGGGGGAGCGUCCUCCUCAGGGACGGCACAGUGAGCCACCCUGACCCUCUCCGUCACCUCUUUGUGCAGGGUCAGGUGUAGGGUCAGUGGAGGAUGAGGGCCUGGCCGUCACCACCUCUCUGCCCACGCCCGUUUUUGCAGGGGGGAUCUGCCUGGUGGGUGUUCUGUUUCUCCUCCCUCUUGAAUUCCAGGAAGUCUGUUUAUGUCAAUCAGCACAUGCCUGAGCAUUGGCCAGCCCCGAGGAAGCCAGGAAUGCCCCCAGGUAUUUCCUUCAUGAGAGCUUGGGUCCAGCAUUCCUCUUGGCUUUCCAGUCUCCAUAGUGGGAAAGCUCCCCAACGUGAAACCCAAGUCCUUCUCUUCGCUCUGUGAGAUGUCAAGAAACCAGAGGCUGGGUGAGGCGGGGAACGGGCUGUGUCCUUCAGGAAUGGGGCCUGGUGGUAGGGUGUGCGGCGUCUCCUCUCACUGUGGUCUCGGGGAGUGGAGAACACGUUGAGAAGAACCAGGUGGGCUCUUCCCUUGCAGCCGUGACCGGACCCACCCAAGGUGGUCUCAUCACUGGGGAUGAAGGGGAGAUGGGCCUCUUUCUGUUUCCUCAGUGUCCAUCCUGUUGAUGUGGCAGGAGGCCUUCACAAAUGCUGGACAGAUGGCUGGUGUCCAUGUAUAUGGAGGAGCAACUCUUAGACUGUUUGUAGAAGCUCCCUGACUUCACGAGGACUGACCGGAUCCUCGUCUGUGAUUCCAACUAAUUCAACUCCUGAUUGUCCACAUGUGUUUGUCCAUCGGGGCCAUAUGGGCAUCUGCUCGCCACCUGGCCAUCUGUGUGAUGAGUACCCAAUUAUGACCGCAGCAGCUGCCUGUCCCCACGGUGACCCAGCUGCAACUGGCCGUUAACAGGCAAUGGGCCUCUCUCAAUUCUGCUAUGAUUACGAGAGGCUGAGAGCUGGGGAAAUGUUUCCACGAAGGAUUUGGGGUGAGAAUGAGUGAAGUCCUAGUGUGAACUUCGGGACCAAGGGCACAUUUCCUCAUGGCCUGUAUUUCCAAUCUCUCCUGUUCUUUCUAAUUCCCUCUGCCAUCUGCAAAGUGCCACUAAAAGGCCCUCAGCGGACAGGAUGAUGCCCACCUGAAUUGGAGGGAGCCGUAUUCUUUGCUCAGUCUAUUGAAUCAAAUGCUAACCUCUUCCAGAAACACCCACACAGACACAGACAUAAUAUUUUACCAGCUAUCUGGGCAUCCCUGAGUCCCGUCAAGUCGGCACAUAAAAUGAACCAUCACAGAUGCGAACCUCCUUAGCAGUGUAUUUCAAAUGGGGGCGGGGAGUCCAUCAAUCAAAAUGCAGAUUCCCAGGCCUCACUUGGAUGCCACGGAUCAGAACUGUGGGAGACGUGGCGCUCUAAUACGUGGUUCUCACCAGCAUCUCAGGGGAUUGUCAUGCAGCUGAAGUUUGAGAUGCCCGUGCCUUAGAAAUGAUGCCGGUCUAAUGGUGCCCUCUCCCGGCAGUGGGGAAGCUGAAGUUGGGAGAGAUGUUGAGCGUGGCUUGGUCACAGGCAGGCACAGCACUGCUGAGCCAUGUCUGGGAGGGCACUGAGAACUCUCUGAGGAGGCUUCUCAAACCCGCUGUGCAUUGGUAGAACCCAUGCAGCUUUGAAAAGCUGCUCGUGCCUGGGCUCCGCCCCAGAGGUUCGGGAUUUGUUGAUCUGGGAUGGGUCCAGGCAUGGUGCGCUGUGAAAGUCUUCCCGUGCUAUUAAUGGUGUGCGGUGUUGAGAACAGCAGGUCUCAGCGUCAGGUUUUGGAGGCAGAGAUGGAGGCAGGUGGUGUGCUUGGUAUUAUGGUGCUCGCAGCAUCACAAGAUUCACUGUCCUUCGGGGUGCCGGGAGGACUGUACUUCCCCAUCCCUGUGAAAUUAGGCUUGGCCAUGGGACCAGUUCUGGCCAAUGGAUUGGCAGAAGUGAUGCCACUUCUGGGGGGGGGGGGCGGAAUAUAGGUGCUGAUGUGAGUGGCCCCUGCUGUCCUGUGACCACACUGGACCUGUGGUGUGAGUGAGAAAGACGUCUCGUUUGCAGUUGCUGAGGUCCUGUUUGUCUCUGGGUUAUACCCUGACCUCGCCUGACAGACACACCUGGUUUCAUAAAAAGUUAGUAAAGCUAACGAUAGUUCUGCAUCCUAAAUGCCUUCUCCAUUGCCUUAAUAGAAUAAAUAAACUCUUUUCUUUUUUCCUCCUGUUUUGUUGUUGAAAUCCCGUUGAAAGAUGGAGCCAGGCUUUUGAUGCUAAAAUGUUUCCCAUUGCUUAGUCAAGGCUGUGUAUUCAGUUCAUGGAACUUGCUUAUUCAGUUUGUCCUGAGGAGACGAGUGUUAUGUCAGGCAAAAAAUCCUAAAUGAUUAGAGCAAAUGGUGGUCUUUUCUCACUGAGAAAAAUGUCUGCAGAAAAUUGAUUGAUCUUGACUGAUAUGUGUGCCGGAGCUCUGUUCUUUUGACUUUUACAAGGGAAAUCUCAAGUUAGGGAAAAGGAAGAAAACAUACCACUUGCUUUAAAAUGCAUUUUUUUCAGGAGAAAAUUUAGCAGCUGUGAUGGUUAUGCUGCUUUUGGUAAGAAUGUUUUCCAAUGUAUAAUACAUUAGACUUACCACAAGCCUCCUGCCAGGGUGAAGCUUGCACUAAGCAAGUGGCGACUCUUCCUGGAUUGAAUUCUUGGCUGGAGGGAUGGUUAGGCUUGGGGAAGACAUGGAGAAUGAUAGGUGAAUAGAAAAGAGUUUAUUGAGUUCAGGUGUCCUGACAUUUGCAUUUUGUGAAAUUUCUGUUCAUGCUUCAGGGAGAAAUAAUUUAAAAAUACUAGUAAGAGUAGGCAGCCUUUACAAAAAUUCAAUACAUGUUUUAAAAUUAUUUUUCUGGCUCUGAACUGCUAUUUAGGGCUGAAUUAUUAUAUGGCUCUUUUUCAAAAUUCACUUGACAAUGGGCAAUUUGAUUUUUCUGAAAUAUUUUAUCUACAGAUAGGAAGCUUGUAGAUACUGAAAACCUCUGAGAAUCUGGGAAGAGAGAAUGAGACUGACUUGCUCCUGGCUUUAGCCCCAGUUAGAGAAGCGUCUGGGUUGUGCUAUUAUGUGUUCCAGAGGUGCUUCCAUGUCUGGGGCAGCAUGAUCCUGAAUGAGAAGGGACCCGAAAGGGCCUGGAGCACCUGCCCUUUAUGUUUGCAUGUUAUCUGCCCAGCCCAGCAGGUGCCUUCCUCCUCGGGGAGCUCACAAAGCAGACAGAGCUGUUUCUGAUAAGAUCCCUGGGAAGAUGUUCACAAGGGCACGAAGUUGCGCCUAUGAAGGGGGCUGGUUUUUCCAAUCAGCACUGUAGUAAGAACGGGCUGGCACAUUCACCCUGGGCCCGACCUCCCUGGGAGCAGGCUUGGGUGGUAGAGACUAGACGGGCCACAGCCACCUGGAAACUUCUGUCCGAUUGCUUCUCUCUCUUCCUCCUAGGACCAUUCUCUCUGGGAGAAGGUAAGCAGUGUGCAAGAGGGAAGAACAGCUAGUCAGACACUUGUCCUGGAAAAAGAAUGGAACCAGGCUGAGGAUGUAGAUUCUCUCACUGGCUGGCCUUUGGGGUGGGGACCACCGUGGCCUCUGGAUCAAUUUGGAAUCUCUGGGCUCCGGGAGACUCAGGUGAAAUCCUGCUUCCCUCCCUUGGGCUGUGUUCCCCCUGACUGCUUUGAGCUACUAGUAUCUUGGUGAAAGCCGUGGGCAUACUAAUCAAUGGGGGUUUUAAUGCUGUGGGGUUAAAAAUAAGCGGAUGCAGCUGGUAUGUUGUUUUAGGCUCAUGGCCAGGCAGGGUCCCAAGUCCUCUUCAUGGGGAGGGGGUCCAAAGGUGAGGGAGCAGACCCACUCCAAUGGGGGAAGGAGCCAGAGCUCCCCUCCAUGAGGCCUCCCCCAGUCUCUCCUUCCUCCUCCUCUGUGGGAAAAUGGAGGGAAGGAUCCGAGCGGGGAGAGGUGGGACAGUGGGAGGAGGAUGAUGUGGGAGGGGGAGAGGAGGUGGUGUACGGAGGGGUAGGACUCUCCAGACCACAGCUUGUUUGAUGGAUUUUGGCGAAGCCUGGGCGCUCGGCUCUGCCGGUGCCUUUUGGGCAGCACCAGCGCUGAGGAAUCACCUUAUUUACAGUCCUGAGGCAUCUGCCUUCUCUUCCUGGGUAAGUAGACUUCUAAGAUGUCAGGGCAAACCCACAGUCCCUCUCGCCGUGAACCAAGCUCCACCUCCUUGCUUGGCCUCUGGAGAAACGUGAGGAGCUCUGUUCACCGUGCAAAGUGCUGCCAUUGCGUUGGUGCUCAGGGUCCUUGUCACACAGCGGCUUCUCUGUGUGCUCCUUGAACAGAAGCCAACCUGCUGGCCUGUAAAACAGUGGAAAGGCAUUGCUCUCCAACCACACUGGGAAAAAUGCCCUUUAAAGAAAACCAUCUUCUAAGGGCCUCACAAAAUGACACAUUGUAAUAGGAAUAACGUGUGGAAAAUGGCCUGUUUUCUCUUCUGGUUGCUGUUCUCUUCAACAGCUGUUUAAUUGUAUUGGUCAUGUUGUUCACUAGCUUUGGAAGAUGAAAAGCCUGCAAGUGUUUGCUGAAAUCAAGGCUCCAAUGUCAAUUAUUUCCAUUUUCAGUUUCAAUGCAGCAUUUAUUCUUAUGUGUGAACGGCAGCACCGCUUUCUGCUCUUGGCUGGGGGAGGCACACGGCAGGUGGGGAGAUCACUCUGACCCACGGUGGACUCAGCUGCAUCAGAACCAUCAGCAACUCAAAUAGCAGAGCUCCCUUGAACCCCACGCUUCACACAUGUAUCUGGAAUGACGAUGGGGGUUUUGUACAAAAGCAACCCUCAGGAGCAGGAUGUAAUUUCCUCAAAGUAGUCAUUCGAGCCAUCAUAGCUCAGGAAUAUGAGAACAGGAAGGUUUUGUGGACAUAGACAAGACAAUGAAGGAAAUGAAACACUAUGGGGCCGACGUUCCCAGGUCCUGGUGGGGUUCCGGAUCCUUCUGGAAGGAGGGCUCCUUUGCAUGUUGUGAGCAGUGGGCUUUGCUGGUGGGGGAGGCCAGGACUUGGCUGCUCUCCUUUCCAGUGCCCGACCACCAACAGGCUCCACCCAGGAGGCAGUCAUAUCGCCACACCAUUGUCACAGGGGCUGGGGUACCGAAAGUGGUCAAGGUAACCGGCUGCUGGUGUUUUAUGUAUGUGGAAAGUUUAUAGAACUCAUUUCCCAAUUGUUUAUUUUGGUAAAAAUGUUGACUUGGGGGCUGGCCCCGUGGCCGAGUGGUUAAGUUCGCGCACUCCGCUGCAGGCGGCCCAGUGUUUCGUCAGUUCGAAUCCUGGGCGCGGACAUGGCACUGCUCAUCAGACCACGCUGAGGCAGUGUCCCACAUGCCACAACUAGAAGAACCCACAACGAAGAAUACACAACUAUGUACCGGGGGGCUUUGGGGAGAAAAAGGAAAAAAUAAAAUCUUUAAAAA
rnacentral:lncRNA from 1 species